rnacentral:rRNA from 1 species
AUUGAACGCUGGCGGCAGGCUUAACACAUGCAAGUCGAACGAGCGGCGGACGGGUGAGUAAUGUAUGGGGAUCUGCCUGAUGGAGGGGGAUAACUACUGGAAACGGUAGCUAAUACCGCAUACCAUCAGAUGUGCCCAGAUGGGAUUAGCUAGUAGGUGGGGUAAUGGCUCACCUAGGCGACGAUCCCUAGCUGGUCUGAGAGGAUGACCGGCCACACUGGAACUGAGACACGGUCCGGACUCCUACGGGAGGCAGCAGUGGGGAAUAUUGCACAAUGGGCGCAAGCCUGAUACAGCCAUGCCGCGUGUGUGAAGAAGGCCUUCGGGUUGUAAAGCACUUUCAGCGAGGAGGCGUUACUCGCAGAAGAAGCACCGGCUAACUCCGUGCCAGCAGCCGCGGUAAUAC